CUCAGUUCAGAUUGCAGGCUGCAACCCGCCUGCAUGAAGUCGGAAUUGCUAGUAAUCGCGGAUCAGCAUGCCGCGGUGAAUACGUUCCCGGGCCUUGUACACACCGCCCGUCACACCAUGAGAGUCGGGAACACCCGAAGUCCGUAGCCUAACCGCGAAGGGGGGCGCGGCCGAAGGUGGGUUCGAUAAUUGGGGUGAAGUCGUAACAAGGUACC
rnacentral:rRNA from 1 species